rnacentral:rRNA from 1 species
GAUGAACGCUGGCGGCGUGCCUAACACAUGCAAGUCGAGCGAUUUACUUCGGUAAAGAGCGGCGGACGGGUGAGUAACGCGUGGGUAACCUGCCCUGUACACACGGAUAACAUACCGAAAGGUAUGCUAAUACGAGAUAAUAUACUUUUAUCGCAUGGUAGAAGUAUCAAAGCUUUUGCGGUACAGGAUGGACCCGCGUCUGAUAGCUAGUUGGUAAGGUAACGGCUUACCAAGGCGACGAUCAGUAGCCGACCUGAGAGGGUGAUCGGCCACAUUGGAACUGAGACACGGUCCAAACGCCUACGGGAGGCAGCAGUGGGGAAUAUUGCACAAUGGGCGAAAGCCUGAUGCAGCAACGCCGCGUGAGCGAUGAAGGCCUUCGGGUCGUAAAGCUCUGUCCUCAAGGAAGAUAAUGACGGUACUUGAGGAGGAAGCCCCGGCUAACUAUGUGCCAGCCGCCGCCGUAA